rnacentral:lncRNA from 1 species
UAGCCAUGAUAUUUAUUAGAUCUAGUAUAGUUAGUCUUUUAUGUCUAGAUUCUAGCUUAUGGCCUUUGCAAUUAUUGGCUGAUUGACUCAUGGAAAGUUACAUUUUUUUUUGUUAUCCAUGACUUUUAUAUAGUCUAUGUAUUUUGACUUGACUCAUAUGUAUUGUGACACAUAUGUCAUAUUUUGGAUAUAUAUAUAUAUAUAUGCUUUUAUCUUAU